GAGGGUAUAGCUCAAGAGGUAGAGCACAUGCUUAGCAUGCAUGAGGUCCUGGAUUCAAUUCCCGGUACCCCCU
rnacentral:tRNA from 1 species